rnacentral:rRNA from 1 species
UACGUAGGGUGCGAGCGUUGUCCGGAAUUACUGGGCGUAAAGAGCUCGUAGGUGGUUUGUCACGUCGUCUGUGAAAUUCCGGGGCUUAACUCCGGGCGUGCAGGCGAUACGGGCAUAACUUGAGUACUGUAGGGGAGACUGGAAUUCCUGGUGUAGCGGUGAAAUGCGCAGAUAUCAGGAGGAACACCGAUGGCGAAGGCAGGUCUCUGGGCAGUUACUGACGCUGAGGAGCGAAAGCAUGGGUAGCGAACAGGAUUAGAUACCCCAGUA